GACGAACGCUGGCGGCGUGCCUAAUACAUGCAAGUUGAGCGAUGAAGCUUGGUGCUUGCACCAAUUUGAAGAGCAGCGAACGGGUGAGUAACGCGUGGGGAAUCUGCCUUUGAGCGGGGGACAACAUUUGGAAACGAAUGCUAAUACCGCAUAACAACUUUAAACAUAAGUUUUAAGUUUGAAAGAUGCAAUUGCAUCACUCAAAGAUGAUCCCGCGUUGUAUUAGCUAGUUGGUGAGGUAAAGGCUCACCAAGGCGAUGAUACAUAGCCGACCUGAGAGGGUGAUCGGCCACAUUGGGACUGAGACACGGCCCAAACUCCUACGGGAGGCAGCAGUAGGGAAUCUUCGGCAAUGGACGAAAGUCUGGCCGAGCAACGCCGCGCGAGUGAAGAAGGGUUUCGGAUCGUAAAACUCUGUUGGUAGAGAAGAACGUUGGUGAGAGUGGAAAGCUCAUCAAGUGACGGUAACUACCCAGAAAGGGACGGCUAACUACGUG
rnacentral:rRNA from 1 species